rnacentral:rRNA from 1 species
GAUGAACGCUGGCGGCGUGCCUAAUACAUGCAAGUCGAGCGAACGGACGAGAAGCUUGCUUCUCUGGUGUUAGCGGCGGACGGGUGAGUAACACGUGGAUAACCUACCUAUAAGACUGGGAUAACUUCGGGAAACCGGUGCUAAUAACGGAUAAUAUUUUGAACCGCAUGGUUCAAGAGUUAAAGGCGGUCUUGCUGUCACUUAUAGCUGGAUCCGCGCGGCAUUAGCUAGUUGGUAAGGUAACGGCUUACCAAGGCAACGAUGCAUAGCCGGCCUGAGAGGGUGAUCGGCCACACUGGAACUGAGACACGGUCCAGACUCCUACGGGAGGCAGCAGUGGGGAAUCUUGCGCAAUGGGCGAAAGCCUGACGGAGCAACGCCGCGUGUGUGAUGAAGGUCUUCGGAUCGUAAAGCUCUGUUAUUAGGGAAGAACAUAUGUGUAAGUAACUGUGCACAUCUUGACGGUACCUAAUCAGAAAGCCACGGCUAACUACGUG